rnacentral:rRNA from 1 species
GAUGAACGCUGGCGGCGUGCCUAAUACAUGCAAGUCGAGCGAACAGAUGAGGAGCUUGCUCCUCUGACGUUAGCGGCGGACGGGUGAGUAACACGUGGAUAACCUACCUAUAAGACUGGGAUAACUUCGGGAAACCGGAGCUAAUACCGGAUAAUAUAUUGAACCGCAUGGUUCAAUAGUGAAAGACGGUUUUGCUGUCACUUAUAGAUGGAUCCGCGCCGCAUUAGCUAGUUGGUAAGGUAACGGCUUACCAAGGCAACGAUGCGUAGCCGACCUGAGAGGGUGAUCGGCCACACUGGAACUGAGACACGGUCCAGACUCCUACGGGAGGCAGCAGUAGGGAAUCUUCCGCAAUGGGCGCAAGCCUGACGGAGCAACGCCGCGUGAGUGAUGAAGGUCUUCGGAUCGUAAAACUCUGUUAUUAGGGAAGAACAAAUGUGUAAGUAACUAUGCACGUCUUGACGGUACCUAAUCAGAAAGCCGCGGCUAACUACGUG